GCGGCUGGAAGAGCACCGCACGUCG
rnacentral:snRNA from 1 species